UACGAGGGGGGGCGAGCGUUGUUCGGAAUUAUUGGGCGUAAAGGGUGCGUAGGCGGUUUGGUAAGUCUGAUGUGAAAUCUAUGGGCUCAACUCAUAGUCUGCAUCGGAAACUGCCGGGCUUGAGUGUGGGAGAGGUGAGUGGAAUUCCUGGUGUAGCGGUGAAAAUGCGUAGAUAUCAGGAGGAACACCUGUGGCGAAAAGCGGCUCACUGGACCAUAACUGACGCUGAUGCACGAAAAGCUAGGGGGAGCAAAACAGG
rnacentral:rRNA from 1 species